GAUGAACGCUGGCGGCGUGCUUAACACAUGCAAGUCGAACGAAGCACUUUUGUCAGAUCCCUUCGGGGUGAAGACGUUAGUGACUGAGUGGCGGACGGGUGAGUAACGCGUGGAUAACCUGCCUUACACAGGGGGAUAACAGUUAGAAAUGACUGCUAAUACCGCAUAAGCGCACAGCAUCGCAUGAUGUCGUGUGAAAAACUCCGGUGGUGUAAGAUGGAUCCGCGUCUGAUUAGCUAGUUGGUGGGGUAACGGCCCACCAAGGCGACGAUCAGUAGCCGGCCUGAGAGGGUGGACGGCCACAUUGGGACUGAGACACGGCCCAGACUCCUACGGGAGGCAGCAGUGGGGGAUAUUGCACAAUGGGGGAAACCCUGAUGCAGCGACGCCGCGUGAGUGAAGACGGCCUUCGGGUUGUAAAGCUCUGUUGUGGGGGACGAAACAAAUGAUGGUACCCCACUAGAAAGCCACGGCUAACUACGUGCCAGCCGCCGCGGUAAAAC
rnacentral:rRNA from 1 species